UACGGAGGGUGCGAGCGUUGUCCGGAUUCACUGGGCGUAAAGGGCGCGUAGGCGGCUUGAUCAGUCGGAUGUGAAAGGCUGGGGCUUAUCCCUGGUGAGCAUACGGGACGGUUGAGCUGGAGCGUGGUAGAGGGGUAUGGAAUGCCGGGUGUAGUGGUGAAAUGCGUAGAUAUCCGGCGGAACACCGGUGGCGAAGGCGGUACCCUGGGCCAUAGCUGACGCUGAGGCGCGAGAGCGUGGGGAGCGAACCGG
rnacentral:rRNA from 1 species